rnacentral:lncRNA from 1 species
AUCAAAUGCUCUUAAUAUUCUAUAAUCAUUUUUCUUUUCUUAACUUUGCCUGUGAUUAAAUGAUCAACCUUUAUCCUAGGAAAACCGCAAACCUUUUCAAAUAGAUAGAUUAACAAUGUCAAAGCUAGGAGUCGAAGAACUAUGUUAAAUCAUUCCAGGCCCUAGCUUAAUCACAGAGCUAUCAAUCCGUUAACGCUAAAUUUGAGAUGCCCCAAAAUUCUUCUUAGAAUUAUCAAAAAUAGGAGAGCCCAUAACUACUUCCAGUAGGCAAAGAAUCAACGACAUUCCCCUCUACUAGAAAACUAACUCAAGUCUUCCAUA